AUGAAGAGCUCAUCCAAUCAAAAAUUCCCAAGAACGUGGCUUCCCACAGAUCUGAAUUCCCCACAUGAAGAAGGCACCACAGCCAUUGAGUCAGCACCGACUUGGAAAUGCUUUAAGUUGCCGUUAUCAGCGCCAUUGCUAAUGAGCCGAUUGCCCUUGAAAACAGCCGACGCCUGUUUUAUUGCUCCUGGGACUAUUAGAAGAGCAGUCUGUCAAGAAUUUGGCCCAAGAGAUCAAAAAUGGCUUUAAAGGGAUUUAUUUAGCUGCUAUCAUGUGCCAGGCACAGUACCUGUUGAUUUCCUCAGAGUCACUUGAUUUCUCCAAAAGGCUUUGUACUUCAUCAGGUAUGCUUUAACACGCAGGCCGUGUGAUGCCAUGUUCGGGGGAAGGGGGGGCGGGCAAGAUCAGUUUCCUCUGUUUUAAUUGUUCCAUUCUCUCUGCAGGACAACAUUCUUCUCCAUGCUGUGGGAACUUCGCAAGGGUUUGAAUGCCUUUAGGCAAGAAAGUAAUUUCCUAUUUGGAGCAUAAAAUGAAAUCAGAUCCAUAUGCUCAGUGCCAUUAUACUUUCAACGUAAUAUAUUAAAUACUCUUAGCAACAGUAGCUCAA
rnacentral:lncRNA from 1 species